UACGUAGGGUGCGAGCGUUGUCCGGAAUUAUUGGGCGUAAAGGGCUCGUAGGCGGUUUGUCGCGUCGGGAGUGAAAACCAGGUGCUUAACACCUGGCUUGCUUUCGAUACGGGCAGACUAGAGGCAUGCAGGGGAGAACGGAAUUCCUGGUGUAGCGGUGAAAUGCGCAGAUAUCAGGAGGAACACCUGCGGUGUAGACGGCUUACUGGACCGUAACUGACGCUGAGGCACGAAAGCGUGGGUAGCAAACAGG
rnacentral:rRNA from 1 species